rnacentral:rRNA from 1 species
UCGGGAAUUUUGGGCAAUGGGCGAAAGCCUGACCCAGCAACGCCGCGUGAAGGAUGAAGUACUUCGGUAUGUAAACUUCGUAAGAAUAGGAAGAAUAAAUGACGGUACUAUUUGUAAGGUCCGGCUAACUACGUGCCAGCAGCCGCGGUAAUACGUAGGGACCAAGCGUUGUUCGGAUUUACUGGGCGUAAAGGGCGCGUAGGCGGUGUGUCAAGUCAGUUGUGAAAUCUCCGAGCUUAACUCGGAACGGUCAACUGAUACUGUCACACUAGAGUACAGAAGGGGCAAUCGGAAUUCUUGGUGUAGCGGUGAAAUGCGUAGAUAUCAAUAGGAACACCUGAGGCGAAGGCGGGUUGCUGGGCUGAUACUGACGCUGAGGCGCGAAAGCUAGGGUAGCAAACGGGAUUAGAUACCCCUGUAGUCCCUGAGCGGGCUGGCAAGGCGCAU